AGAGGGUGCGAGUGUUAAUCGGAAUUACUGGGCGUAAAGCGUGCGUAGACGGUUAUUUAAGUCGGAUGUGAAAGCCCCGGGCUCAACCUGGGAAUUGCAUUCGAGACUGAAUAGCUAGGGUGCGGUAGAGGGAAGCGGAAUUUCCGGUGUAGCGGUGAAAUGCGUAGAUAUCGGAAGGAACAUCAGUGGCGAAAGCGGCUUCCUGGACCAGCACCGACGUUCAGGCACGAAAGCGUGGGGAGCAAACAGGAUUAGAUACCCUGGUAGUCCACGCCAUAAACGAUGAGGACUAGACGUUGGAGGGGUAAGCCUUUCAGUGUCGCAGCUAACGCGCUAAGUCCUCCGCCUGGGGAGUACGGCCGCAAGGUUA
rnacentral:rRNA from 1 species